AGCUCUGGCAUUUUAUAGUCCUUGUGUUCCCCAAAGAAUUAGGAGUUGUCUAACUACAACCUGGAAGAAAUGCAAAAAUAGUCAAAUGCCGACUCCAGAAGUUAUGGCUGGAGAAUGCUAAUACAUCUGGCACUUACUGAGCACACAGCACCUUUAGGUGGGGUACAUGACGUGUUUAUAAAAGAUGUCAUCGACUUCUGCCACAGCUUCAGCGUUGAACCUGAGCAGCAAGAGAGACCAAGACACCUGGGGAGUUCCCUUAGCCUGAUCUUGCUGCUGGUAUCUUGCAGGAGGAACUCUUCCAAAAGCAAAAGGGAAAAUCCCUUUGUGACCUGGUUUUGGAAAUUAUAUUUUUGUGAAGCCCAGAAGCUCAGUGAUCGUCGUGCCGGAAAACACUGGCUUUGUGCAGAUGUGAGUGGGAAG